AAAUUUCAAUGUAAACUUAAAUGUUAAUCUGCAGAGGUACAGCUCUGCAGAAUAAGAAUACAACCUUAAUUAGUGAGUAAACUUAUUUAAUAACCAUAGUUGGCCUAAAAGCAGCCACCAAUUAAGAAAGCGUUCAAGCUCAACAAUAAAAUUUAUAUUUAAUUCAAAAAAUAAUAUAAACUCCUAGUAUAACCACUGGAUUACUCUACUUAUUCGUAGAAGAAAUACUGUUAAAAUGAGUAACAAGAUUUAUAUCUCCAUACACACGUGUAUAUCAGACCGAAUCCCAACUGAUAGUUAACAAUUAAAUAAACCUAUACACUAAUAGACAGUUUAUCACUAUAUUGUUAAUCCAACACCGGAGUGUACAUAAGGAAAGAUUAAAAAAAGUAAAAGGAACUCGGCAAACAUAAACCCCGCCUGUUUACCAAAAACAUCACCUCUAGCAUUACCAGUAUUAGAGGCACUGCCUGCCCAGUGACAUUAGUUUAACGGCCGCGGUAUCCUGACCGUGCAAAGGUAGCAUAAUCAUUUGUUCCUUAAUUAGGGACUUGUAUGAAUGGCCCCACGAGGGUUUGACUGUCUCUUACUUUCAAUCAGUGAAAUUGACCUUCCCGUGAAGAGGCGGGAAUAUAAAAAUAAGACGAGAAGACCCUAUGGAGCUUAAAUUUAAGUAUUCAAUAAAAUUUUAACCUAAUCCAACAGGAAUAACAACAUUUAAACUGAACAAUAAAUUUUGGUUGGGGUGACCUCGGAGCAUAACAAAACCUCCGAGCAAUUCAACUUAGACUUACUAGUCAAAGUGACAUAAUUUAUUGAUCCAAUCAUAUUGAUCAACGAAACAAGUUACCCUAGGGAUAACAGCGCAAUCCUAUUUGAGAGUUCAUAUCGACAAUAGGGUUUACGACCUCGAUGUUGGAUCAGGACAUCCAAAUGGUGUAGCAGCUAUUAAGGGUUCGUUU
rnacentral:rRNA from 1 species